rnacentral:rRNA from 1 species
AUUGAACGCUGGCGGCAUGCCUUACACAUGCAAGUCGAACGGCAGCACGGGAGUAAUCCUGGUGGCGAGUGGCGAACGGGUGAGUAAUGUAUCGGAACGUGCCCAGUCGUGGGGGAUAACGCAGCGAAAGCUGUGCUAAUACCGCAUACGAUCUAUGGAUGAAAGCGGGGGAUCGCAAGACCUCGCGCGACUGGAGCGGCCGAUAUCAGAUUAGCUAGUUGGAGGGGUAAAGGCUCACCAAGGCGACGAUAUGUAGCUGGUCUGAGAGGACGACCAGCCACACUGGAACUGAGACACGGUCCAGACUCCUACGGGAGGCAGCAGUGGGGAAUUUUGGACAAUGGGCGCAAGCCUGAUUCAGCAAUGCCGCGUGCAGGAUGAAGGCCUUCGGGUUGUAAACUGCUUUUGUACAGAACGAAAAGCUCUGGGUUAAUACCCUGGGGUCAUGACGGUACUGUAAGAAUAAGCACCGGCUAACUACGUGCCAGCCGCCGCAGUAA